CACAACGUGAAUGUCUUUAUUCUUGAAUUUCACCAGUGUCUAACAGCACAAGAAACAAGAACAAAAUCUCAAUUUAUUUAAGAAGAUGCUUUAUACCAUGUUAAUCUGCCCCUUCACAUCUACCUGGAACAAAGAUUCAUUUCGUGAUAUUAUUUUACCGCAAGUUAUGCUUGCCAUGACUUUCAACGUUCACGUAAGGAGAAUAAAAAGGUUCAGGCAGGGUCUCUUGAGCAUGGGCAGCCCAGCUUACCACGGACCUCUAGAGAAGACUGAAAAGAGGGUAUUGCCAG
rnacentral:lncRNA from 1 species